CCUACGGGAGGCAACAGUGGGGAAUAUUGCGCAAUGGGCGAAAGCCUGACGCAGCGACGCCGCGUGAGGGAUGAAGGUCUUCGGAUCGUAAACCUCUGUCAGCAGGGAAGAACGGUCACUGUGCUAAGCAGCAGUGAAUUGACGGUACCGGCAAAGGAAGCACCGGCUAACUCCGUGGCAGCAGCCGCGGUAAUACGGAGGGUGCGAGCGUUAAUCGGAAUUACUGGGCGGAAAGCGCACGUAGGCGGUAUGUCAAGUCAAGGGUGCAAUCCCCGCGCUCAACGUGGGAACUGCCUUUGAAACUGGCAAACUGGAGUGUGUGAGAGGCUAGUGGACUUCCCGGUGUAGGCGU
rnacentral:rRNA from 1 species